GAUUCUGGCUCAGGAUGAACGCUAGCUACAGGCUUAACACAUGCAAGUCGAGGGGCAGCGGGGAUCUAGCUUGCUAGAUUGCCGGCGACCGGCGCACGGGUGAGUAACGCGUAUCCAACCUUCCCCUUAGUAGGGCAUGGCCCGUAGAAAUGCGGAUUAAUACCCUAUGUUGUUCGAUGCGGACAUCUAAGUUGAACCAAAGGUUUACCGCUAAGGGAUGGGGAUGCGUCCGAUUAGGCAGCAGGCGGGGUAACGGCCCACCUGGCCGACGAUCGGUAGGGGUUCUGAGAGGAAGGUCCCCCACAUUGGAACUGAGACACGGUCCAAACUCCUACGGGAGGCAGCAGUGAGGAAUAUUGGUCAAUGGGCGAGAGCCUGAACCAGCCAAGUAGCGUGCAGGAUGACGGCCCUAUGGGUUGUAAACUGCUUUUAUGCGGGGAUAAAGUGAGGGACGUGUCCCUUAUUGUAGGUACCGCAUGAAUAAGGACCGGCUAAUUCCGUGCCAGCAGCGGC
rnacentral:rRNA from 1 species